rnacentral:lncRNA from 1 species
AUCCAAUACACAAAUCAUCUAUGGAUAGCCCUGCCAAGCAUCACCCAACCCCGGGUGAUGAGUACGAAAAACUCUAGGGGCCCCUAUCCUACGACCCUAAUACUAGACCUCCAGACUUUCCUAUCAAGAGUCAUGUCCUUGGAAACCCACAUACUAGCCAUGCCAUGCCUAAUCACCUCUCCCCAAUACCUCUUAGGCCUCCCUCUGCUUCGCCGAACGCCGACCAUCGCCAGCCGUUCACAACUCCUCACCGGGGCAUCAGGACUUCUCCUCCGCACAUGCCCGAACCACCUCAGCCUCGCUUCUCGCAUUUUCUCAUCCAUCAGGGCCGCCCCACCUUCUCUCGAAUAACUUCAUUCUUGAUCUUAUCUAACAUGGUGAGCCCGCACAUCCACCUGAGCAUCCUCAUCUCCGCAACCUUCAUUCUCUGAACAUGAGAGUUCUUUUCUGGCCAGCACUCCGCCCCCUAUAACAUGGAACCACAACUCUAUUAAAUUUUCCCUUGAGUUUCUAUGGAACUUUCUUGUCACACAGGACUCCUGGUACAAGCUUCUACUUCGA